UUCUUGUAAGGGCAUGUCCACAGAAGGUCCCAGAACAUCUUGUGGUUCUUGUAAGGGCAUGUCCACAGAAGGUCCCAGAACAUCUUGUGGUUCUUGUAAGGGCAUGUCCACAGAAGGUUCCAGAACAGCUUGUGGUAAAGGUUAUGGUAAAGGACUGUGUGAAAAAGCCCAACCUCAUUCCUUGUAAUCAUAAUAAAAGGCAGUAGGGGAAUGAGAGCCGGCAGAGUUGAUCACAGACAGUGUUUGAUGGCAGGUUCUCCGCGUCUGGCACAGCUUCCCUCUUCUGCAGAAAAGUUAUUUGUGUUUUUGGUUGAUUCCUUGCAGGUUAGGAACUAAAAUAGACCCAACAUUUCGGAGGCUCGUUCGGAUUCCCAACAUACCCGCCGCUGACGGAAGGAGUACGACGCGCUGGAGUCUGCUGGCAGUCAGGUUCUUCGGACCUGUCCUGAAAAGUCCCGGGGGGUAACUUCCUCGCUGGGCCAGCGUCUUAGGACACCUCCUUCUGCCAUCGGCAGAUUGACGGGAUUCGAACCAAGACAGAGCAGCAAUCAACCAAACGAGUCAGCUUUGUGCCUUGUAAGAGCAUCCUAGAACAUCCUGUGGCAGAGUUCUCUGAAGAAACUAUCUGGGUGACUAUGUAAAGCAACCCAACCCUCUUUUCCUUGACGUGAUAAUAAAAAGCAGCUGAGAGGUGAGAACCGGUGGAGUUGAUCCCAGACAGUUGUUUGACUGCGGUUCUCCAUGUCUGGCUUCUCUCCCCUCUUCUGCAGAAGAGUAACUUGUGUCUCUGGUUGAUUCCUUGCAGAUUGGGAACCAAAAUAGAGCCAACAUCUUGGGGG